AACGAACGCUGGCGGCAGGCCUAAAACAUGCAAGUCGAACGAACCUUCGGGUUAGUGGCGCACGGGUGAGUAACGCGUGGGAAUGUGCCUCUGGGUGCGGAACAACGUCGGGAAACUGACGCUAAUACCGCAUAAUGUCUUCGGACCAAAGAUUUAUCGACCAGAGAUCAGCCCGCGUUAGAUUAGGUAGUUGGUGGGGUAAUGGCCUACCAAGCCUACGAUCUAUAGCUGGUCUGAGAGGAUGAUCAGCCACACUGGAACUGAGACACGGUCCAGACUUCUACGGGAGGCAGCAGUUAGGAAUAUUGGAAAAUGGGCGCAAGCCUGAUCCAGCCAUGCCGCGUGUGUGACGAAGGCCUUAGGGUUGUAAAGCACUUUCGUCCGCGAAGAUAAUGACAGUAACGGAAGAAGAAGCUCCGGCUAAAUUCGUGCCAGCCGCCGCCGUAA
rnacentral:rRNA from 1 species